rnacentral:rRNA from 1 species
UCUUAAAUGUAAAAUAAAAUUAAUGACAUUUUUACCAGAGUACUAUGAAUCAAAUAAAAUUUAAAACUCAAAGGGCUUGGCGGUGUUUUAGACCUUUCAGGGGAACCUGUCUCGUAAUCGACAAUCCACGCUAAACCUAACUUUCUUUUGUAAUUCAGUUUGUAUACCGUCGUCGUCAGGUAACUUUUUAAAAUUUAGAAGUUAGCAUAUAAAUUACUUAAAUUUAAACGUCAGAUCAAGGUGCAGCCUAUAGGGAAGCGAAGAUGGGUUACAAUUAUUUAUUUAUAAUAACGAAUAAUUAAAUGAAAAAUAUUUUUAAGGAGGACUUGAAAGUAAAAUAAACUAGAAAAACAGUUUGAAUAUGGCUCUGAAACGUGC